rnacentral:lncRNA from 1 species
GAGACUCCACCUAGCCAGGGUGGUGGGGGAGGGGUCUCCAAGAAGCCCCUGCUUUGCACUCAGCUCCAGCUCCCUGUCCUGCGUCCUCUGGAAGCCCUGCCUUCUGGGAAGGCAGGAAGACUGGGAGGAGACAGAGAUGAGCUGGGGAGGGCCUGCCCCCAGGGGUGCACCUGGUCCAGCCUGGCCACUGAGCUCCUAAGGAGCAGAGGAAGGCUGGAAGCUCCCCAGCGAUAGAAGGAGCUCAUUAGCCAGGGGAGCCGCCAUCGCUGGAGCCAACGUUUUCAUCAGAAACCCUUCCAUCAGGAAGCAGACAUGGAUACGAAACACACAUUUCUGGCAGGGAUAUCCAGCUCCCUAAAAUAAGACCAUUGCCAACUAUUGAGACCCUUGGCUGUCCACCACCAAAACCUCCAAGGCCUCCAGUCAAGCACCUCCUGGCCCUUCAGAACAUGGUUCCUUUAGCUGCCACAACACAAAGUAUAGCUGCUGCUGAACCGAAUUACCUCACUGCAGAAAACCAAGAACGUGCAGAAUCACAUUACGAGGCAACAGUCCCGUUCCAGAAGCCAUCUGAGAACUCCAUUUCCCCGCGCACUGAUAAACCACCUUACCACGUUGGAACAGAAGUUAGUGCAAAGCCUCGGAAGAGUUUUGUCCAUCAAGGUUAUAGCCAUAAACAUACCUUUAGGGAUGAGAAAAAGAAGGGGAAACAGCCAAGGGAAAGUGAACUGCACAAAAGGGACAAAGAGUUGAAUUCUAAAAAGAUCAACCGGGAGGAAAGCAUUCUUCGAAAACCCCAGAUGAAGGAGGACCACAGAGGCAAGUGGAGACUGGUGCGCCAGAAGUCAGUUUCAGAAGCAAAGAGUGAAGAAAUAUAUGAAGACCUGUACAGUGGAGACAGCAGCCAACCCCCAAUGGAGUGAGUGAGUCUCUUGUCCUCCUUGCCUGGGCCUGGCCUUUGUAGACAAGCUGGGAAAGAGCAGACUACAGGGGCAGGGAUGAG